rnacentral:sRNA from 1 species
CUUCAUCAUCAUUAUCA